AUUGAACGCUGGCGGCGUGCCUAACACAUGCAAGUCGAGCGGUAACAGGUGUAGCAAUACAUGCUGACGAGCGGCGGACGGGUGAGUAACGCUUGGGAAUCUGCCUAUUAGUGGGGGACGAACCCGGGGAAACGUCGGGCGUAAUACCGCAUACGCUCUACGGAGGAAAGCCGGGGACCGGCAAGGCCUGGCGCUAAUAGAUGAGCCCAAGUCGGAUUAGCUAGUUGGUAGGGGUAAUGGCCUACCAAGGCGACGAUCCGUAACUGGUCUGAGAGGACGACCAGUCACACCGGAACUGAGACACGGUCCGGACUCCUACGGGAGGCAGCAGUGGGGAAUAUUGGACAAUGGGCGGAAAGACCUGAUCCAGCGACGCCGCGUGGGUGAAGAAGGCCUGCGGGUUGUAAA
rnacentral:rRNA from 1 species